rnacentral:lncRNA from 1 species
UAUCUAUAAGAUUGGUCUGUUACAAAGAAACUCCAUUCACACAACAAAAAAGGGACGUGCUUCUUUAAUUUUUGAUUCAUAGUCUAUUGCUUCUUUAAUUUUAGGCAGCAGGGAUUACUCCUUCUGUGAAUUGUGCUCUUGGUCCUGGUGUUCUGUUGUGGUUGUGUUCUUGAUCUAGCCAAUUACAGCCUACUUAGAAAUUUGUGCUGUGCUAUUGCUUCUUGCAGAGGAAUGCUUAAAGAUGUUUUGAGGCUUGAGGUAUUGACUAGGCAAUUCAGAAGCUAGUAUUUCCUUGUAUUUUCAUGGGCUGGUGUUUACACUGGUUUGUUUGAUGUUACAUUUGGUGAAUCCGACAGAUGCAUUUUUUUUCAUGCAUCUAUAGGCCUGGAGGUUCCUUUCUGCAGCAAUCAUAUGAUUUUGAGCUUUAUUUUUAUCAGAUUGCAGUAUGCAUGAUGAUCAUAAAGGGUGCACUUCUGAUCUGAAUUUAUUGAUCACAUGUGCCUCAGAUUGCAUGUUUCUGUAGUGGAAAGUAAGGAUGAUAAAUUGCAAAUGUCUGGUCAUAUAGAUUAGCGAGUACGUGGCCUGAACUUUUUCAAGAUUUACCUCAGCUGUUAAUUCAUAAUGACAGCAUUAGAGGUUUUGAUUCAAAUAAUAAUCAAUGAAGGAGCCUUUAUGUAUGUUUUAUAGCAUAGUCUUGAAGUUGAAGGUAUUCCCCUACAGAAGUCAGGCAAAGCUUUCGAACUGUACACAAAUUUGAGCUAGUAAGUUGUUGCUGCUUUGAUGUUAUGUUUUUAAGCAGAAACUAUAAGUAUCAGUAUGGUGCCCUAAUACACAUUUACAUUUACAAAGGGUCUGUUAAGCAGACUUGCAUAGCAGAGCAGACUUGCAGUGCAGAGCAGACUCCCAGAGUCAGAGCAAAGCUGAAGUCCAGAGCAGAGCGAACUUUCAGAGCAGACUCUCAGAGUCAGAGCAGAGCUGAAGUCCAGAGCAGAGCGAACUUUCAGAGCAGAGCGGACUUUCCAGAUCUGAAUAAAGCACAGAGCAGAGCGGACUUUCCAGAGCAGAGUUGAGUUACAGAGCUGACUUAGUUCAGAACAGACUACGUUUCCAGACCUGGCGUAUUCCAGACCUGACGAGUAAAGAGCUGACUUUCUCGCUAGUUUUGUUUAAACGUGCUGAACAAGUUUUAGUUGUUUCCUUGUUUUCACGCUAUUUCCUUCAUUAGAUUAGUGUUUAGUAUGCCUAUAUAUAGGCUGAUUAUUGUUGGACGAAAUAGCUAAUUUUGAUAUAUGAAAUUGUGAGUUAAUCUC